GACGAACGCUGGCGGCGUGCCUAAUACAUGCAAGUCGAACGCACAGUUUAUACCGUAGCUUGCUACACCAUAGACUGUGAGUUGCGAACGGGUGAGUAACGCGUAGGUAACCUGCCUGGUAGCGGGGGAUAACUAUUGGAAACGAUAGCUAAUACCGCAUAAUAUUAAUUAUUGCAUGAUAAUUAAUUGAAAGGUGCAAUUGCACCACUACCAGAUGGACCUGCGUUGUAUUAGCUAGUAGGUGAGGUAACGGCUCACCUAGGCGACGAUACAUAGCCGACCUGAGAGGGUGAUCGGCCACACUGGGACUGGGACACGGCCCAGACUCCUACGGGAGGCAGCAGUAGGGAAUCUUCGGCAAUGGACGAAAGUCUGACCGAGCAACGCCGCGUGAGUGAAGAAGGUUUUCGGAUCGUAAAGCUCUGUUGUAAGAGAAGAACGGGUGUGAGAGUGGAAAGUUCACACUGUGACGGUAUCUUACCAGAAAGGGACGGCUAACUACGUG
rnacentral:rRNA from 1 species